CCUGAAUUGUCCAUGGCGUGACCAUCACGAUGAAACCAAGGCUCAUCGCCGCCAUUGUCCUCGAGGCUGACGUCGACAGACGUCUCUCGUGCGCCACCAGCUGUAACCAAAUAUCAACGUUCCCAGUUGGCAUCGCUUUCAGUUAUAUUCUUCGUAGCUCGCGUUUUCCGGUGCAAGUUCUCCUAACCUCAAAUUGAGAAGCAGUCUACUGGAUGGAAAACUAUUUACACCCACGAGUUGUAUCGCCAGCGCCUCAGAUUGGUCCAAUCUCCAAGAUAGCGGAAAUCGUUGAAUGGGAGCCUUUAUCAUAAGGAAAGUCGCUUUGGUCCUGGAAACAUUGAUCAAGUAUUGAAUACCCUGUUCGUGCAGUUGCUUCAUACUUUCCUCUCAGGGAGUACUAGAAGUUUGCGAAACAUCCCUCCAAACUCGCCACUCAGGGAAUAUGCCUCAGUAUUAUCGUCUCGUGAUCAACGGGAAGCCUCGACGAUCUUCGCUGGAAAAAUUCCUUUGCAAAAAUGCUGUUACGUAAGUCCAUGAUGAACGCCGUGACCAGAAGGUAAAUUUCUUUCGUAAAAAUGGAAUAUCGCACGUAUAGGCAUUAAAUUGCGGAAAUUACUUCAUGUAAACGUUUUUCAUUUCUCCUCUGCCACUGCGGAAAUAUUAUGCGAAUAUCGAACGGACGCGUUAAGAAUACUUUUUAAAAUACUUAUGUAAUCUUCAUUUAGUGGCAGUGAUUAUUAUUAUAUAUUAAUUUUACAAUUACGAAAAUUAUAUAUUGAUAAGGAAAUCAAAGAAAAGAAAUCAAAAGGAUAUCUAGGAAAGGAAUACCUUAAUGCGUUCUUUUCAAGCUCUUGAUUCGUCCUAA